rnacentral:rRNA from 1 species
GACGAACGCUGGCGGCGUGCUUAACACAUGCAAGUGGAGCGACGAAGCGGGCUUCGGCCCGUGGCAGAGCCGCGAACGGGUGAGUAACACGUGGGUAACCUGCCCCGAUGACCGGGACAACCCGAGGAAACUCGGGCUAAUACCGGAUGUGGUCUUUCCACACAAGUGGAUCGACUAAAGAUAGCUUCGGCCUUCGCAUCGGGAUGGGCCCGCGGCGCACUAGCUUGUUGGUGGGGUAACGGCCUACCAAGGCGACGAUGCGUAGCUGGUCUGAGAGGACGAUCAGCCACACUGGGACUGAGACACGGCCCAGACUCCUACGGGAGGCAGCAGUGGGGAAUCUUGCGCAAUGCGCGAAAGCGUGACGCAGCAACGCCGCGCGGGGGAAGAAGGCUUCGGGUGUAAACCCCUUUCAGGAGGGACGAAGCGUGUCUGGUGAAUAGCCAGUUCACGUGACGGUACCGUCCACAAGAAGCCCGGCUAACUACGUGCCAGCCGCCGCAGUAAU